rnacentral:rRNA from 1 species
UACGUAGGGUGCAAGCGUUAUCCGGAAUUAUUGGGCGUAAAGCGCGCGUAGGCGGUUUUUUAAGUCUGAUGUGAAAUCCCACGGCUUAACCGUGGAGGUGCAUUGGAAACUGGAAAACUUGAGUGCAGAAGAGGGGAGUAGAAUUCCAUGUGUAGCGGUGAAAUGCGCAGAGAUAUGGAGGAACACCAGUGGCGAAGGCGAC